rnacentral:tRNA from 1 species
GCCGAUGUAGCUCAGUUGGUAGAGCAGCGCUUUCGUAAAGCGCAGGUCGUGUGUUCGAGUCACAUCAUCGGCUCCA